GACGAACGCUGGCGGCGUGCCUAAUACAUGCAAGUUGAGCGCUGAAGGUUGGUACUUGUACCAACUGGAUGAGCAGCGAACGGGUGAGUAACGCGUGGGGAAUCUGCCUUUGAGCGGGGGACAACAUUUGGAAACGAAUGCUAAUACCGCAUAAAAACUUUAAACACAAGUUUUAAGUUUGAAAGAUGCAAUUGCAUCACUCAAAGAUGAUCCCGCGUUGUAUUAGCUAGUUGGUGAGGUAAAGGCUCACCAAGGCGAUGAUACAUAGCCGACCUGAGAGGGUGAUCGGCCACAUUGGGACUGAGACACGGCCCAAACUCCUACGGGAGGCAGCAGUAGGGAAUCUUCGGCAAUGGACGAAAGUCUUACCGAGCAACGCCGCGUGAGUGAAGAAGGUUUUCGGAUCGUAAAACUCUGUUGGUAGAGAAGAAAGUUGGUGAGAGUGGAAAGCUCAUCAAGUGACGGUAACUACCCAGAAAGGGACGGCUAACUACGUG
rnacentral:rRNA from 1 species